GCAAAGCAGCCAACAAGUUUUUUACAGUUUCGAUUGAUUGUUAAUCAACAAAAAAUAAAUAAAAAUAAAAAAUGCAAAUGAAAAUCUGUCAUAAAGGAAAAUUAAACAAAAAGAAAAACUAAAAAAAAAAUUAUGAAAAUUCAUGUGUCCGCGUGUCGCGUGUCAAUAGGGCAGCAAACGCGUCGAGACUGCAUAAAAAGGAAGAAAAGUUAAAAUAAAGCAGUUCAACCACUUUUUUGGAAUAAUUCCGGCAUAAAUUAUAAGCGAGCAAAGCGCUCCUAUUUUUCAUGCUUUCGAAGAUUUUUUAUUGCCAUUAACGGUUGUUGGUUCUAUGUGUAUGUGUGUAUCGCUUUGUUGCCAAUUCACCGCGCAUUUUAAAUAAACGAAACCGAAAUAAUAAAAUUAAUUCAUUAAAAAUAAAUUUGUUGUUCAUACUUUUCCCCACGCCACGAGUGCCGAGGCGAACUUAUAAAUUAAGCAAUAAAAAAAAACUCUCCGUGAUUGAAAAAAUGGCGUGCAACAGCGGCAAAUGUUUUAUUACUUAAUGAACUUACGGAAAAUUAAUGCGCAUCCAGUUAAGUUCAGCUUCAGUUGAGCUGCGGAGGGUUGGCUUUCUUCAAGUGACGACGGCGGUCAACACACCACUUGGCUCCGUGGUAUCCUCGCUAAGAAGAAUAUUUGAAAAAAUUCUAAAAAAUAAUAAUUAAUAUGCAAAAGAUGUUUUAGGACUGCACAAAAUGUAGUUACAAGCAUCUUAAUUGUAAGAAAUUAUGAAAAUAUAAGAAACACCGCGCAGUUAAGAAGUAAUUAAUUGUACUUCAAUUAAAUUGAGUUGUUGCUCAUGCAGCGAAAGGGUUGCCAUAUUUGCAUGUUUUUUCUUUAAUUAGGUCAGAUUACUUUUUAUUUCGUUAAAUUAGAGAAAGAAGAAACGUGAUGAAUAACUUUUAGAGUUCUAGUCAGUUACGGUGACCACAUAUGUAUCUUCAAUAUUCUGAACCGAAAAAAAGAGAAAAAAUUUCAAUAGAAGAUGAUGCAUUCAAACUAUGAUGCAAAGAUGAACUUCGAACCACUACACUUGGACCUCUCCAUUUAAAGCGAAAAGCUGAUAUAGUGGAGGUAUUGGAAUCGGCCUAAAUUCAUCACAAUCUUUGUCAACUAUUGAGGGAUUAUUUGGUUAAAUAUCGCAUAAAUGCUCUUGAUAAAUAACCAACACCUACCUGGUAAAGUCUAUUUCCAUGAGAUUUUCUCUAUAUUGGAUAAAGCGAUUAAACGAUAUAUCUCUAGAAGCAUUAUGGAACUUAUCCUGAGUUCCAAGUAUUAUUUGGAUACAGUUUCGAUCGAGACAAAAUUUAAUGAUUGAAAAAAAUUUAAAUUUAAGCAAAUCCUUAGCAAAAGUUUUGAUAAGGUAGAGCAGAAGUGCUGAAGUAUUUAAAUAUUUUUGCUUUACGUGUGUGGUCUUAUCAGCUCAGCUAGAAACAAACAAAAUUGUCUCAACUAAAUACAAAAGAAAUCACGUGAUGGCACGAUUGAGUCGCCUCAUAUAAAAAAUAAUCCAAAGAGCAACAAAGAAAGCCUAUAAAAAGAUAUUUUAAAUAACUCACAACGAAAAUAAAUUGUAUGUCUGCUUUCCAUUACUACUCAAGACAUGUUUUAAAUGUUGAUUGCUUUCUUUUAAUUGCUCAGUCCAGUUGAUAAGAAAGCGAUUGUGUUUUUCUAAUUUUUUCUUAAUUUUU